GAAUAUUGGACAAUGGGGGCAACCCUGAUCCAGCCAUGCCGCGUGUGUGAAGAAGGCUUUCGGGUUGUAAAGCACUUUCAGUGAGGAGGAAAACCGUACGAUUAAUACUCGUAUGGCUUGCCGUUACUCACAGAAGAAGCACCGGCUAACUCCGUGCCAGCAGCCGCGGUAAUACGGAGGGUGCAAGCGUUAAUCGGAAUUACUGGGCGUAAAGCGCGCGUAGGUGGUUUGAUAAGCGAGAUGUGAAAGCCCCGGGCUUAACCUGGGAACGGCAUUUCGAACUGUCAGGCUAGAGUAUGGUAGAGGAGUGUGGAAUUUCCUGUGUAGCGGUGAAAUGCGUAGAUAUAGGAAGGAACACCAGUGGCGAAGGCGGCACUCUGGACCAAUACUGACACUGAGGUGCGAAAGCGUGGGGAGCAAACAGG
rnacentral:rRNA from 1 species